rnacentral:lncRNA from 1 species
GGCCCAGUAGUUUCAGAGGAGAAGAUCUUUGAAAAAGAUAACUAAGAUUUGCGAAAAAAUGGUUAGAAAUUGACUAUAAAGGACAAAAACUCCUAAAGGGGUCAACUGACCAUUUCGGUCAUGUUUGACUUAUUUGUAAAUCCUACUUUGCUGAACAUUAUUGCUGUUUACUGUUUAUCUCUAUCUAUAAUAAUAUUCAAG